rnacentral:tRNA from 3 species
GGGCGAUUAGCUCAGCUGGCUAGAGUACUUGCUUGACAUGCAAGGGGUCACUGGUUCAAGUCCAGUAUCGCCCACCA